AUUGAACGCUGGCGGCAGGCUUAACACAUGCAAGUCGAGCGGGGGAGGUUGCUUCGGUAACUGACCUAGCGGCGGACGGGUGAGUAAUGCUUAGGAAUCUGCCUAUUAGUGGGGGACAACAUUCCGAAAGGGAUGCUAAUACCGCAUACGCCCUACGGGGGAAAGCAGGGGAUCUUCGGACCUUGCGCUAAUAGAUGAGCCUAAGUCGGAUUAGCUAGUUGGUGGGGUAAAGGCCUACCAAGGCGACGAUCUGUAGCGGGUCUGAGAGGAGGGUCCGCCAGACUGGGACUGGGACACGGCCCAGACUCCUACGGGAGGCAGCAGUGGGGAAUAUUGGACAAUGGGGGGAACCCUGAUCCAGCCAUGCCGCGUGUGUGAAGAAGGCCUUUUGGUUGUAAAGCACUUUAAGCGAGGAGGAGGCUACCGAGAUUAAUACUCUUGGAUAGUGGACGUUACUCGCAGAAUAAGCACCGGCUAACUCUGUGCCAGCAGCCGCCGUAAAAC
rnacentral:rRNA from 1 species